CACAGAGACACAGGAAACUUGAAAUAAAUACACAGAAACACACAGAUCACAACAGAAUGUACUUGUACUAAUAAUCACCUCAUGGCUAUGUUUUUGAGAACUCUUUAUGGCUAUCAAAAUGCCCACACUUCCUGAACCUAGCAACAAAGGACCAAACCGUACCAGAAGGAGAAAAUCAUUUCUGGUGGAUCUUAAGGGUUAAGCUCCACUUCUGGUAGUAGAUAUACAAUAAAAAAAACUCACCAAAAUAUCUGCUAUUGCACCUCUAAGGAUUUUUUUUUUUUUUUAUGUGAUUGGAGCAGCUCCAUCUUGGUGACUGUAACCCCCUGAAUUUUACUUACACUGUUCUUCCAAGGUCAAAUCAGUGAUCCAAGAAAGGGUUUGCAGGAGUCUGCUGUGGAGCUGGAAAUGAACUUCAGGACCCCAUCAGUGUGAGUGGCUUUGUGGUUCCUAAGGAGAGAGGAUUAGGGAAGAAAAGGAGGAGGGUGUGAAGAAGGACGGGAUAUGGAAAAAGCAUCCAACAUUGACAGCGUCAUAGGGAGCAAGGAAUGGAGAAAGGAAAUAAUGAGCGAAGAAACAGUCAAAGCAAAGCAGCAAAAUGGGAACUAAAAUGGAUGAGGGAUCAAAUUAUUGAUACAAAAAUGGAAGGAAAAUUGUCUAAUGUCUGAAAAGAUUAGGAAGAGAAGGUCAAAGGAGACAAUAUGAAAAUUGGUGACAUAAGAAAAACUGGUGCAACGGACUAGCUAGACUGGUAGAAAAUCUGAAAGGUGAGUGAAAAGCACACCAAAUCCCAAGGAUUAGUCAUACACCCUCUUGUCAACCCUUGAGGCUGGUUCACAGUUGACUAGAUCUGACUAUCAUGUUUUCAUAACUUUUUGGGUCUGUUUUGAUUUAUGAAUGCCCUCCACCCACCAUCACAUUCCCUACAGUAGGAGUGUUUGAUUUUCAAAAAUCACACACAAGAUCAAAGCAAAUUAGUUUAGAAAUCUGCCACUGCUUUGGAUACGUAUUCGAGAUCAAAGUUGAUAGGUCAGUAGGAGGUUCAACAGCUAAGAAUGACUGAUUUAACAAAGACAGAUUUUCCUUUCCGUGUUUUUCUGGGUAAUUAUUGAUGCAUUUUAGAGGCCCAACAUCCUAUCCAAAAGUAAACAUGACUUUGUGCUCAUUCACCGACUUCUCACCUGCUUACAACAGAUCGAACAUAAAACUGGACUCCCGUUGGACUUCAGAACUUCAUGGCAUAUAAUUCAUGUUUGACACUGUGUAUGUGUAUGUAAUGAACAUACACAUACACCCCUUCACAGGGUGUGUGAAACAACUGUAAUAGUAAUUUGUGGCAGUUAUGGUGAAAUAAAGUUGAGACCAACUAUUUCCCAAUAGAAAAGUCAAAAUAUCUGAAAAAAACAGACAUUACAGUUCUUGGUCAAGACCAAAAUGGAGAGUGUGUCUUUGUCAGCAUUAUCUUCGGAAAUAUGACAUCCCUGGCACAUAAACAGAAGAUCCUUGAGCACUGACAAGCAGUGUAUGUGAAUAUUAGAAAAGCAGAAGGAGGAGCAUGUUCCAGUAAAUACUGCCCUAACCCACUUUCACAAUAUCUGAGCAAAGAUUGGAGGCAGAGCGGUGACAGCCAAUGACUACAAUCAUUUUCGUUAUUCAUAUCAUCGUCACCAUAGAGAGUUCACAAUGUUAUCUUGGACACAGUUGCCAGUGAUGCUUGUGACGUUAUCUAAUCAGUUCCUGCUAGACAAAGGCAGCCACCCAAUCCAUCCAUGGGAACCUCUGGAAUCUUCCUCCAAUACCAAACUUCAGCUUCACUUGGAUUUCAUUUUAUCCUGCAGUGAUGUGCACUGACCAGGCAUAACAUUUUAUUUACUACAAAUGCAUAACAGCAUUCAUUCCUUCAUUUUACUCUUCCUCUUUGAGAUGCAGUUUGAAAACCUGAGGUCCUUCACAGCAGGUAAACGUGUUUAUGUAAGACUUUACUCAUCACAUGCUCAUCUUCCCGCAGUAUAAAAUAUUUACUGACAGAAUGAAAGAGUUUACUCAGUGGAGUUCGGAAACCGCCUGCAAUGAGAGACUGAGAAUGUGUUUUGACAACAGGUGAACCGAGAGCAAGUCAAUCUACUGCAGGGAUGUGUCGUUAUAGGCUCGGCUCCAUAAGAACUUCUUGUUGUUUAGACUUCAGAUCACUCAGUAUGUCUUCAUGAAGCAACUUUUCAUGCCCCACCCAGCCAAACAACUUCUUAUCCAAUUAGAAAAAUUACAUACACGUCUGUGUGGGUCUGUUUGUGUGUCAUUGCGUGUUCAACACGUGGGUUUGUGCAUGUGUCCUGCCCUCAGCAGACCCCCAGUCUCUUCAGCCCACACAGCUUCUGUUAAGAAUCAGACAAAUAUGCCCACAAAUAUGCAUCACUUAAAUGUUUACCCAAAUAAAUAUGGUAAAGGGAACAUAUAUUAAUCAAAUAAGAAGCUGCAAUAACCCGGUUGCAUAAGUAUGCUCCUCCCUCAGCACAGCAUUAUAUCUUUAAUAGAUUAGUAAUCUUUCCCCACUCUAAUUCACAAAUGUUCUCCAAAUCCAUCAGAUUCUUAUGUCUUCCACAUCCUUCUUUAUGUGACCACAAAGAUGACAAAUUUAGCCUUGGACUUUGACUAAUCCAUUCCAAAAUUUUUAUGCUAUUGUUGAUUUUGAUCACUAUGAUCCCCAUCUUUUGCUUUCCAUGACAACCACACAUCCAAUCUACAGUCUUCACCUUUUAGAUUUACCUAACAGAAACAAUUUCACUAAUUUCAGGACAGAAUUUUCUUUCAAGUCAUAUAAUUCAACAAUUCCGUUGUCAAGAAGACUAAUUGUUGAAAUUUGAUCAAAAGAUAUUUGUCCAAGGUUGUGCACACUUAUAAAAAUAUGGUAUUGUAGCUUUGUUUUUAUUUCCUUCUCAUUGAUUUGUGAUCAUUAUAAUCAUACAGCAUCAAUGUCACAUUAAAGAUGAAAAAAGGUUUGAAAUAUAUAUCGUUAGCUAAUUGCUCUAAUCUCAAAAAGUUACUCUUUCAACCAAGGUGUGUAAACAUUUAAAAUCCGCUGUGUUAAAUCUACUCCGAUACAGGUGCUAUCACAAAGCAACCCACUCACUCAGAGGCAACAAGUCCUUCUGCAGAUGCUUUCGGAAAACAUACCACAGAUGUGACAGGAAGCCAAGCUAAAGCCGCAUUCUGUCCUUUUGGUUCUGCAUACAUCUGUGCAGAGGCAAGUCAACCAGAAGGACUUAAGAUAGAAACAGAGAGAAAGGGGGUGUGACAUAAAAGCUUCAGAGGAUCCUACAUGCACUAUUUAGAUCUAAACCUCCCACCUGUGAGAUAAAUGGCAGCCAUCAGUUUGCGACGCUGUUCCGUCAGUACCUGAAGUGCUGGGUACAUCUGUUUGCUAGGAGAAAUUAUGAAAGCACUAGUGUAAAAGGUGAAUACUUUACGAAUUUGGAACUUCAAUUUUGCAGCAGCGUAAGGAUCUCAGACACAAAACAGCUAUACUAUCACGAAGAGUACCUUUCAAAAAUUAUUCACAUCUCUAAAACAUUUAAUUUAUAUUACAACCACAAAUUUCAAUUUGUAUUCUAUAUGUGUAUUUUUUUUGAUAGACCCCGCAUAGCUGUGUAGGAUUGUGAAGUGGACAAAAACAGAUUAUUAAAUAUUUCUAUUAGUAAGAAUUGAAAAGCACUAUUUUAGCUCCAAUCAUCAUGUGAUUAACUCUGGCAUUACCUUCCUGCGCAAUGAUUUUCAUCCACCUUUCUUCUCGUCUGGGAUUUCUCCCAAUUACCUCAAUAUCUUGUGGUUGAAUUUUAACUGGGCAAGUCAGCAAAUGGAAGGGGUUGUGAAUGAUGAAAUUGAUUUCGUAUUGAAUUAACAUCAACAGCCACCCAUUUUAGCUCAUCACUUCUUUCUUUGUAGUGGGGGUGGUUGCUUACAGCACACACAAUUUUGGGUAAGCUUCAUAGCAUGGGAAAUUUAAACCUUCAACAAAGUCCAUGCCUCCAGCAACCAAUCGUUUCUCAAUAGCCGAGAAUCCAAAGCCGAGUGUAGAACCAGGGUCUUAUUUUUACCAGAGCACCACAAAGAAACAACAAAAACUACAAUGACUUAGAAAACUAAAAUAUACAAGAACAACUUGAUUAUAUUGUUGAAAACAAAAGAACACAAGCAAAAAAUAAGCUCACCCACUACAGGUCUUGUGCAAAUAACUAAAGUGGUUUUAAAUAACCCACAUGAACAUUUCUCAUUUGGAUUCUUUAUUCUUGGAUCAUAUUUUGUGGGUUUUGCCCCGCUCAGUACAUUCUGAAAAUACAUUACGCAGCUUUUAAGGAGGAAUCUAAGCAAGUAAAUUCAAUUUAGGCCUGUGACUAUCAGUAUUCAGCUGUGUAGGAAGUAGGCAGCGGUGUCUGGGAUGAACACAGUAAUAAGAUCAUGCCUAAAUGGGUUACACAAAUAUACAAAGACUAGCAUGUUCACACACACACGCAUAUACAAAAUUAACAGAGUGUAGAGGACCCGAUGAACACAACUGACAUCUUUCUCCAAUGUAACUAAAUGUUCCUGAACAAAACUGGAACACUGAUUGCAUUAAGUCUGAAAAGGAGAUAUUGUGUGUUUCCGCACAAGUGAAGUGAUAAACUAGAGAUGACUGACCUGUACCCACCCAGCUGUGAAAUUUAUGAGACUGACUAAAAAAAUCACUUCAAUCUGCUUCACAUCUUCACAGAGUAUAGAAAGAUGCAAAAAGUUACAUCUUUGUAGUUGUACGGCUGGCCUGACAUACAACAAGUCCCAGUCUUAUUUACUCUAAAUGUUUUUUUGUCUUUGUUAGGAUUAAAUUUAGGAUUUAAUUAAUUGUGGGUUUUGGAUUCCAUGAAUUCAAGUCAGAGGAAAAUCUAGAAAGGUAGUUUUUACCAUUCAUAGUUAUUACGGCUACAGCGUGCACUAAAAAUGUUAAACCCUUCAAUUAAUAUUUUGAAUUUAAUACUAUAUGAUUUUUUUUCUGAUAAACUUACACAGUAUAGCAAAGUAUAGUUGAGAAAAGUUGGACAACUAACUAGGCAUAAUAUUAACAUUGGAUAAAUUUGAGCCUUUUGCAACCUCUAACAGGUUUUUUUUUGUUUUUUUUAUUUCUGUAUUGUUAUUUUUCAACACAUAUUACAUGCACACACAAAGAAACAUUUGUGGUUGACAUUGUAGGCAAAAUAAAAUUAAGGGGCAUAUUAUCUGAUGUCAUGCUGAGAAAACCAGCAGCAUUCUGCUUCAUAUUUACCAUCCAUGUCACACAGACAUCAGACACACCUCUCCAAACAAGCAGAGAUUCUUUAUUCGGUUAUCUCUUCCACAUGUAAAUGGCGCAUAAAGUAGUUUUUCAUUCGCUGUAGACAUAACUGAUUUGCAUAAACAAUGUAGGUUUAUUAAAUGGUUGCUCUUGAAGUGCAUCCACAAAUUGCAAAAUACUAUUUUUAAUUUGCUCCCAUUUAUCUAUUCAUUUUCUCCACACCUUUCAUAGCCUUUAAGAAAAUUUCCAAAUGUAAUUUGGGAAAUAAUUGCAGCCAUAUAAUGUGUUUUUAUAUUUCCAUUGUUCCAGGGUCCGAGCUAGACCCUGGUGCAGGUCUAGCUCGGAAAAACAACAGUUCAAAUAAUUAGUUUUAUAACUAUGUUAAAACUAAAUCCAUGCCUACGAUGCCGGUACUUAAACUUCUUCAAACUCUCGUUCUGAAAAACUGCACUAAUUACAAAAAUUACAGAAUUUCAGAAAAUGGAAAAAUAAAUUAUUCAAGCCACAAGGAAAUGUGUCUAGACCACUGAAUCUUUAACCAAAAAUGUAAAUCACUCAGUCAUCUGGAUCACUUACACUAAACCUCUACCCCUAAACCCUUAGCAACGCUGCACAGACCCAGGCUGGUUGUUAAUGAGAGGAAAGAAUGCCAAAGGGUAGUUGGGUGAAAUGCUGUUAAGAAAUACCAGAAAGGAAAAGGAUUGGCUUUACUUUUUAUACUCUCAAAGUGGCAAAUUAUUUUGACAGAAAAAGUGUUUAGAUUUACACUUGACAUUUGUAACCCCCAUUCUUUUCUGUCAUUAAGGCCAGCUCUAAAUGGACCAGAUUUCCUGUUUAGAGUCAUGCUUCUAGGCAGUGUGCUUUUAAAUAUGCUGCUGCAACACAUAUGGUAGCCGUCAGUCCAACUAUAUUUGGAGAAAGGUAUCAUUUGCAACACUUGCAGCACAAUAUGUACACAUAUAGUAUUUGUGUGUUUCACUUCACAAGUCACUUCUUGCCUGCAGUGACUAGUGGUUGAAAAGAAGGGUAGCCCUCUCUCAUUGCCUCCCUUUCUCAAUUUUGUUACUUCUGUUUUACACCAGAAGUACAUUUUGCACUCAUGUACCUAAUAAAUACAUUUAAUUUCCAUUAUCAGUUAAAUACUACAUAAAUAUGCUCAAAUCUCAGGUAUUUGUUUUGACUCUUAUUUAUUUAUUUACUUAUUUUUUAUCCAUAUUUCCAUUGUUCUUGCUUCUUAUCCUGGUUGGGGUCAGUCAGCUCUUAUGAAGUAUGACAGAUUAAAACCCCCAACCAAACCAAAUAUUGAACAGAUUUAGUGAGAUUAUGGAAAGCUACUUAACAUAAUUAUUGUCAAAGUGGGUCAAAACAUCCAGAGGUACUAACCCUGGUGCAGGGUUAUUAUGAAACAGCUCUGAAACAAUAAGAAGUGUACGAUGGUUGUAAAUAAUAUGUUUACAACCGCUUAAAGAACAAAUGAACCUCCAUCACUACAGACAAGCCCUUGCUUUCAUAGCACAUCCAUGUAAAUAGAUUUGUUGUAAGUUUUGAAACAAAUGAAUCAUCAAAAAUAUAAAAAGAAUCAGUUUUAAAGAAUUGCCACAUGUUGGGAAGGAAAGUUGUUUGGAGCUGAUGUUUUGAAAUCUACCACAGGGAGCCUAAUCUGAUGAAAUGCUAGGCGGCGUCGGCUUUUCCAGGAAAAUGAAAGGACGUUUAAAAUGGUGUUUUGUUGCAAGCUGCAGAAUGGAGGUGUUGGCUCUUGGGCUUUUAGCUCAUAUACAGUCAACUAAUUUCUAUAAGGCUCAGAUGGAAGGUGGAGCAGACACUAUAAUCCUGGACUGGACUCCAGGGAUUAUGUUGGGAUUGUCUGGGCAGCACAGUGGAAGCAGAUUGGAGCUCUUUUCUCACACACAUGACACCAUACAGGGUAGGAGGCGUUUUAUGUCAUUGCCAUCCAAUUGGUUUGUUUGGGGUAGACUCCUCAUGAGAUUUUGUUUUUUUGUUACCCGGACAGUGUGGACGAUGAGUGUAAGUUAAUUGGAUGUCCAGUUUACUAUCCUAACCAUUAUUUAUGUCUGUGCUUCACAAUCCAGUAUUUUCCAUCAAAGUGUAGCGACCCGAUUUGAGACAUAUGGAAUUAUAACAGUGACACGAUCAACGAAUAUCACAAAAAUAUUCAUUUGGGCAGAAAAAGUAGCAAAAUAUUAUAGUUGCUUGGUCACCCUGUACAUCCAGUGUCCUUCAUAAUACAAGUUUUUAUUGCUAAUGGUAGGGCGCCAGAGAUUUUCUUCAGCAGCUGUUGUGACUUCAGGGUAACAGCCUCUUGGUGCCUAAGGCAACAGCCUUUUACAGUUACUCAGCUCAUAUGAGCGAAUGACAGCUGCAGAAUUGUGUCCUUGUGGAAGGACAGUGUGCUAAAUAAGCUGCAAACUUCCUGUUGUUGGUAUGAUGCAAAUAAAGACAUUUCAAAACAGCCCAACAGUUGCACAUCCCAAACAGUGAAAAGCAAAGGUAAUUCUAAUCGUCAGUUAAAUCGACUUUAUUUCUUGCAUCCAAGCAAGAAGCAAAACAUUUUUACGUUGAUGUUGUGCAGUUCUGUGGCUUCACGUGUCCACUCUGCCACAGAGAGCAUUUUAGUAAGACUUAGUAAGACACCUAACUUAAGUCAUAAAUAAGUUAAAUUAUUUAAAAAGAGUUCAAAUGAAUUUUCAAGAUUACUUGUAAAAUAAUAUUCCCUUUAAUGUAAAGCUACCAUUUCAUGUAGUUUACUAGUCCACCAGCAUAAAACAAUCUUAAGAUAACUUAAGUGUCUGGGGGUUGAAAUUACCACCAGAAAAUGUCCAUUUGUCUUUAAAUGAUGUAAAUAGUAGCAGGGGGGAAAAAAGAAAGCAAUAUGUAAAAACACACUGGUUGUUUAUUAGUUUUUCUGUUGAUCAUGCAUGUAUGAUCAUAUUCAUUUCUCAGAAGUGUUCUGCUGCAUUUAUUGUAUUUUUUACAAAAGAAAACUUGCAAAAACUACAGUGAAAAUUUGUAAAACCUUACAGAGGAACUUGCAUACUUGUCAUGUGGAAUUUGUUUUGUCUUGAGGUUAGAUUCAAGUACUCUCAAAUGUUGUUGGUAUUUUUUUUAUUUUUCUGUUUUUCUUUCUCUAUUUUUCACUUUAAAACUGUUUAAUAACAGAUUUUUUUUGUGAUACUGUCUGCAUAUUUGUCGUGUUUUUAGGUUUUUUUCUAGCAAAAAAUAGCUGCCUGCUCUUUUACAAUAUGAACAACAAAUUAUUUUUACAGUAUAGCUAUAAUAUAAGCUGCCAUUACAAACAUUCCUCAUGAACAUGAUUUUGGUCUCAAUCAUUUAAUGUGUAAUUUGAGUUGUCUAAACUGUCUCAACUUCAUCACAUGUUGCUGCAACUUGUGGCUGUGGUAUCCAAUCAGUCAAAAAGCACCCACCACCGCGCAGUGUCAGUAAAUCGCUCUAUUAACGUAGCUCUGUGUUGUUGUCUUUUCUGGGAGGCAGCUCCGCCAGCACUGUUUAUGUGUUUGAAGUAUGAUUACAUCUGCUCAUAAUUAGAAGAGAACUCGCACAUGUUGCACAAAUAAGCCAACCUGUGCAACUCAAUGCCAUCCUCCUCACCACAUCACACAGCCCACGUCGCUUUAUCUGCAACUCUGUCUCUCGUCACAUCUUGUUUUCUGGAGAAGUCGCAUUCGGGUUUCGUGGGUAGUGUGACCUCCAGGGGAGCAAGGAGCUGCUUGGGCCGGAAGCUCUCUCAAAGAUCUGCAGGCUACUGUCGUAAUUACAAGGUCCCACCUACUUGCCUUCCAAACUCAUACAAGAUAAGAUGCACUGUAUUACUGUUUGUCAGACACCCACAGAGAAUGGGUAGAGGUGAGCCAGUGAGAAAGGAAAUUACAGCCCUCGUAAUUCGCCAACUUCACAUCUAGCAACUGCUUGCGUCACAGCUACUGUAAAACAAACACCUAUUAUGCCCAAGAGCCACGACUCGGGUCCUCCAGUAAGCCCACAUAAAGCCCUGGAAACACUGGUUUAGCCGUGGCACGUCUCAGCCUGCCAGACGUAAAACCAACAACCUCCAUCACAAAGCCCACCCCCGUCCUGUUGUCACUCACAGCACAAAAAGGAUACAAAGAAAUAGUUCAUAAAGUGUUUUUUAUUUUAUUUUAUUGUUACUUCUUACUACUCUCCAACUGUGUAAAUUAUCUCUUUAUUUUGGUUAAAUGUAGAAAAGUUUGUUAAAUAAAGUUUCAUUUCAAACCAACAAUGCCUGACUUGUAGUUUUCUUUUCUUUGUUGCUCCUUCUUUGUCAAAUAAAAAGUCAAUACCAAGACAGAACUUCCCAAAGAGAGUAUUUGAGAAACAAGAAAACAUUUCAAAAGCCUAUAAAAGUUACAACCUUUCAAGUGUGAUUAGUCUCUCCACCCUGAAUUCUACUGGAAACGUGAUCCAAAAAUCUCUGUAUGCUCUCAAGUGUUUCUUUUCUUCUUUUUUUUUCACAGGAAACGUUCUCACCAUUCUUCUGUCUUCUACCCCCCUAUGUUGUGUUUUUCCUCCUCCCCAUGUGCUUCCUAAACGUGUGGCUCACGCGAUUGGUUGCAGGGGGCGGAAAGUUGGCCAAUAGGAGGGCAGUUACCAGGCAGCCUGAGCCGUGUUUGGAGGCUGACUGGAGGCUCUCACAGCUGUUUCAUUGAAAAGCAGCAGGCCAUAAUAACAAGGGCCUCUUACCAUGCAUACAUGGGGACUAACUCACGCAAAGACACACAGAGAAGACUUUGUGCCAACAAAGUGAAGUUAUCUGCACAACUUCAUCUCCACUUCUACGUAUUUAAAUGCUGGUCUUUCAUGGCUGAUGGUGGUGUACACACUACUGUACUUGUUUGUGUUGUCAAUUCUUCUAUUAAUGCACUAAAUUAAAUCUUCAUUCUUA